AAGAUAUUUCAAUGGCAGAGAUAAAUGGGAUGGUGUGCCCUCAAAGGCUGUGCUUCUCCACUGGCCAUAAAAGGAGCUUUGGUAACUGGCUCAGGUUUAGCUUGCAGUGGAACUUCCUGUGGGAACAGGUCAUUUCAAGGCAGAAAUUCAAGUACCUUGGAGCAAUCACUGGUUUUGAAGAGACUGCUUCUAUCAUUUAUGGUGGAAAGGACAAGUUUAAGAAGGACAAACCCCUUCAAGCUGUUCUUCAACACAGAAAUUGAAGUCACGAAGAUUUAUCUUUGUAAUCCCUGCCUCCACUUUGCUUGCCUGCCUCGUUGGGAUGUAGGCUGCCUGCUUUCUCAGUGUUCAGCACAGCUCCCACUGCCUACAGUUUGCAGUGGCACUUCUACAAAUUACACUCCUCCGUACCAAGCACCACGAAAAACAGAAUUAACAACCACUGUGCGAAGGGACUCGUAUCACACAGGAAAUCUGUGGCAAAGGCAGGGAUAUGACUUGGUUCCCCAGAGCUGCACUCAUGCCUUAAUCAUGAAAACAUGUUCUCCUCUCUGCAGUUGUCUGCUUCAUUCACUGUGUCCUUCCAACAGCUGCAGGAGUACAGGUUGUACAGAGCACAUUCCCUGUUCCUGUGCCGGGAUUCGUCCUCCAGCACCGGUUCUUUCUGCGCGCUACACAACACGGGAGGCCGCGGAAAACUCCCUCUGCCCAAAGGGAUCUCACACAGUUCCCUCUGCCCCACCACCAGCACAAUCCACCAGAGCCCUGGUCCUUUUUUCUGCCUCUUAUGCCACCAUGAGAGUUGGGUGCAUGGGAGCGAUGGGAUUCCCGAUCCAAUUCCUGCAUGUAAUCAGGCCCGGCUGCAGCUGCAGUGAGCGGCAGGAUCAGGGAAAACUGUUUUGAACGCCAGUAGCCCCAGGGCUGGAGCAUGCCCAGAUGUUUCAUGGAAUGGCUCUGGCAGACCAGUCGCACACAGGUGUUUAUUGGCUUGAAGUAAAAGUCAGGAAUACCAGGAAUAAUUCAUCCACCACUUGGCUCUUCAAACAGAAGAGGAACGAGCACAACGUGCAAAUCCAAAGGGCAGAUAGCGGCGGCUCUGAGCUGACACACACACGCACGCUUCACCCACGGAGCUGCUUGCAGGAUGAACUUCUGAUUUUCCUGGAACAAACUCAUUUUAGUUAUGAAAACUGAUUAUGCAUAUUGUGAAAGGCAUGCAGCCAAGCAACUGUAAAACUCUGUUUUUCACUAAUAUCUAUCAUUUUUAGGAACAAAACAUGCUGCCGGUAAAUGCAAGCACAAGUCUGCUUGGAAAUGUGAUUUGCAGUUUACUUUCUCUUCAUGUUUAAAAGCUAUUCCAAAUCAAAACAGACCUAACCAGAUCAGAAGUAGCAUUGUGUACUUAGCUUAAAUACACUGAUUUUCACACUAAAAUUACUUUAAGGAACAAAGACUCUCUGUUUGUGGCAAAAAUCAAAGGAGAAAUGCAAGAAGCUUUCCCGGAGAGGUUCGCUACUCCGCUCAGCCUCUCCGUGACCUGGGCUCUGCACGAUUUAUUGGUUAUCUUUAAUAAAGCCAAAUCCAAGCGCCUUCUCUGUUUUGUUACUUCCAUUUUAACACCAGCAGUAGCAGACAGACAGACAAAGUUUAGUUUUAGCCUGGGAGCUAAAAGAAAUACUUCUAACAUACAUAUGUGCUGUUACAGUCUGACUUAUAAAUGCUCAGUAGUAAAGUCAGCAAGAAUUGAGCACUAAAACUGGAGAAGAGUAAAUGGAAAGAGAUCCUGCUGUAUUUGCAGACUUGUGGUAAUAAGGAAAGCACUCCUGACUGCUCUUGGAAACUUGUCAUGUAAGUGAAUAAGGGGAGAGGUCAGGCAGUGACAGACUGCUCUGCCAGCCUGAAAUGGGGGGUUGCAUCAAACCAAAAAAACCCAAAACAUGCAUUUAACUUAAAAUGAAUGUUAUUAAAACAAAUUAUACCCAUCAUUCAGAAAUGUAAUCUGAAAGCACCGUAACUCCUGGCUUCUGUUCAGAUGAUGUCUGGCUGUGUAUCAUCCACAAAGUAUCUUCCUGAAUCCCCAGCACCCUGGCUUCAGGAACCGCUCUAAAUCAUACCAAGUUCUGAUGAUUCUGAUGUCAUUUUCUAAGCUUUAAGUAUUCUUGCAAGUGACAUCAAUCAUGACUCAACUUGGCCUCUCCUGAAAUUAUGACAAAGGCUCCUAUUUUUAAAUUUUCAGACAAAUACAACUUGUAUAACUUUAUUUUUUUGCCAAAGAUAUGUCAGUUCGAAUCUCGCUAUUCCAAGCAUAUUCUGUUCUUUUGGGAUACUUGUCAGCUGGCCUAUUUAUAUCAGGUUUGUAAGAAAUUAAAUGUUUUUCUAGAAGCAAAAUAGCAGACUUGGAGAACAGAGCUUCCACCUUGCAUUAUUAAUAGAAUUUGUGAAAAUCUGUGGUUAUAUUGUCAAGAAGCAUAGAGACUAAUUGCACAGAGCCAACAAUUCACUCAGCGUGGUGGUUAAAAUGCAUAAAUGGAUAAAAAUGAUUUGUAUUAGUGCCUGCAGUCUCUUGUAAAUGUCAAAUACUUUCUUGACAUUCUAAAACCCAGGCUGUACAGCAAAAGUGGGAGAGUAGCAUUUUGUAUUAAUAUGAAAAUGUAUAAAACUGAUUAUCCCGUUCUAGCACUCAGUAUUUCUCUGCUUCAUGAAGACCUUAGAUGCUGAUUGUAACUGGCUAUACUCUUUCAAUUUAUCAUGGCUCUCAUUUUUCUUCCAGCAGAGCAAUGAAUAUUUUACUUGAGAUAAAUAAAUAACAUUUUACUUCCUGUGAAAGAAGAUAUUUAAAGAGAUUCCACACAACCAGUUUUCCCAUUUGGAGAAAGUUGUAAAUGUUCAUUUCCCCCAUUUCCCAUGCAUGGCAGUCUUGCCAUUCCUGUGAAAUUGCUGUUCCUCUUUUGUAAAUCCCCAUCCCAUGCAUUUAUCUCUAUGUAUGUCAGUAGUGUAAUUUCAGCUUUAUACUGUUCACUUUAAUCAUCUUUCAAGGUUCAAAGGACACCUGGACAUAUCCCCAUUCCCAUUUUAGUCUUUAAAACAUUCACUAAAAGUUCUAGUAUAAAGAAUUUAUGAUGUUUCCUUGGAUCAAAACAUUUGUGUCCUUACCAUACAUCCAUCCGACUUUACUUUUUAUACUCUGCUAAAGCAGAAUGAUCCACAGGUAUGAUUGAACUGACAGAAGUGUUUGUAUUUUUCUAGAACAGAUCACUUAUAUUUUGUACCACUGACAUUUUACUCAUUGUUCUCACUAGUACCCAUAUUUAUUUCCAAAGAGUUGUGAAAUGAAAUCAUCAAAAAGCUACCAGCUGCACAAGUCUUCUGAAGCCUCUGAGUCUGUCUUACACAUUACAAAAACAUGCAAGGCUAAGGGCUUAGAGAUAGUCCAAAAAAAAAAAAAAAGAAUUGAAAAGGAAUAUCCAGGUGGUUUUUUAACUGCAAGAUACAAUAAAGUAGGGUUUGGAAAGUAUUACACAGAAAUAUAAUAACAAAAACCCCCAAGAUACGCCAUUUACAAGUUGAGCUGUACAGUGCUGUGCCUUUGUGUGAGCUGAAAUCAGUAAAGCAGACAGAGCUCACUCCACAGGGUUUAUCAGACAGCUCUGAAUGUACAAACAUACAACUGGCAGCUUACAGGCUGCUGAGCAACACUAGAAAAUCUUUCAGGGUUUAAGGUUAACUAAGGUUAAUUAUUCCAAAACACUCUUUUGUAGAUUUCAGUAAUAAUUGCCUUAAGUAACAGCAAUGAAUUGCUGCCUCCAUUUUGAAAGCACUUGGGAAAUGACUUAAAAACAUGUAGAAGAUUUAUCAUGACUACACUGUAGGUGUAAAAGAAAUGAAAUGCUAAAAGGACAGCUGAGCAGCAAAGGGCAGGGCCAUCUAAUGGAGUCCCACAAUUUCCAUUAAAUAAUUCAGACAAAAAGUCAAUAGAUUUGUCAGCCACAUGUAUUUACGACCACGUUUGAUGGAGCUCUGAUGCAUUUGUAUUGAAGUUUGCUCCCAGAUACUAAUCUCAGAUACUAAUCCAAAGAUAAUAACCAGACAGCUCUCACACAUUUGAUUACUUGCUGAAAUAUUUAUCAUCUUUCCUGAUUGCAUCUUAUCUCAAAGCCAGACCCUGAGCCCAGAGAAGUAAUCAGCUUGAUUCCAGGGUAAGAGCUGCCAACCCCAUUGUGAGGAGUGUUACAGAAGUCAAAGGGACCACACAUGAAAUGCGGCACUAAGGUUCAACUGUAAAAGUCAGCAAGACCUGGCAUUAGAUUACAAGGUCUUGAGAGCAAAGGCAUUCCUGAUUUCCCAGGCAUGGAAGGACAAGAGGUAAAACUCUGAUACUGUUAAAGUAAAAAUGAAACUUUUGUAACUUCACUAGCACUGCAUGUUUAUUGUGCUCAUCCCCUGCCAUCUCAUCUGUGCCACGCUGUUAAACUGCAGGAACAAUUCUGUGUGCUCAAGUGGUACAGAUGAAAGUCAUCUGAGGCUAACUACAGGAGGAGUUCCUACUAUCACUCCUUUAGGGAUUGAAGUGGUGUCAGCUCUCCGCUGAUAUUUCACCCUUGUCCCAAGCACAUGAUAGAGAAAGCAGCAGCAGCCAUUAGGUACUCACAGUGAAGCAAUCCAGACUAAGCACUUUCCAAUAGCACAAAAUGAGGCAAUUUACCAGGAAGAGAGGGAGUUGCAUUAGCAUGAAAAAUUCUAAGUUAUUCACAAGAUGCUAAAAGAAAGAAUCAUCAAUCCUGAGCACUGGAACCAUGAGGACCCAUAAGGAUUUUACCUGACGCUCAUGAGCCCAAGCCAAGUUACCACUGCUGUAAGUGGAGCUGAGAGGGGAGCAGAGCAGUAGCACUGGCUCCCUGCAGAGCUCACUCAGAUUUGGAAUCUGGCCUCUUGUGUCUUCCACUUACACUUUGUGACAGACAAAUUAGUGUACUGCGAGUGACCCAGAAGUUCCUGCAGAAAAUCUGAGCAUGAGUGUCUCACUGGGGGCACUUAAAUGUGAUUGCAGGGGCAAUAACAAACACCAAAUGUAUAAAGGCACCACAUUCUGCCAGUGGCAGAAGAGUUAACACCAGCCACCACCACCCCUCUGGUACAAAGUAGGUAAACAUGAAGGAGACUCAGGAUUAAAAGUGCAACCACCUUGUCAGCAACACAGACACUGCACCCACACCUGCUGGACUCCAGCAGACUCUCAAGUGUAGGCAGCUUUUAAUACCACUUUCAGAAGAUGAUUUCUGGAAAUCACAAAUUCAAGAGCUACAUUCAGUGACACCAUGAAGGGGAAGCACGUGCAGAGUCUGCCAUGAGGUGGUCAAGGACUACACACUGGAAUUUGUUACCUGACACAGGGAUAACACAACAGCUCCCUGCUAAAUGUGGGGAAGUGAGACCCAGGGGUGGUGAUGGCUCCUUCUGGUAGUGAAGAGGGAGUGAAUGACACCCUGUUGCUCAAAUCACCUUCCCAUGCUGUUUUCACCCAUAGAUUGCUCAUUUUUGUGCAGACUUGGAGACUUUCCAGUGUUCAGAGUCCAGCAGUGUCCCAGCUUCUCCCUUCCAGUGGUUCCUGGCCAGCCUCUCCUUUCUGCUUCACAUUCCCUUUGUUAAACUAUUGGCCCCUGACAUGGAGAGGUUUUUGAGAAGACUGGUUAGGAAGAAAGGAAACGAGAUUAAACAGAAUAGGUCACUUGAGAACACUUGCAGAAAUUUUGUCUUUAUUUGCUUGGUCUGGUAGCUCUGGAAGAUAGGAACUCCACAUGUUUUAUGGUUACAUUUAUAUAACAAAUAAAGUCUUUAAUUACAGCAGCCCCUGCUUUCAAGGAGGCAGUAGGGAAGCCAAAGAAAAACAGAAGACUUUGCAGUCAAAGUAACAAUAUCUGUAAAUCAGAAGUGUCACAUAAUCCUCUGAAAAUUAAAAUUUGAAUAAUAAAAUAUUUCCCCCAUUUACUUAGUCACUGUGUAAUCUUAUCAGGGAUACCAUCCCUUGUUUCAAACACCAUGGUGUUACCUAUGGCAGCCUCUCCCGUGGCAAAGAGUGGCACCUCCUGCUUUGCUUGGAGCAGCUUCCCUGCAUCUGCCCUACCGUGCCGCGGCCUCCCCCGAGCCCACGCGCUGGCUGACGCUCGCUCACGGGGAGCGCCGUGUCAGGAGCGGGGCAUGAAUGGAGAUGGAUUUGUGAGGGGAAAAUAGAAUUUGAUCCUUCAGUUCCCACAGGGCACCACCACAGAGACUAUUUUCUGUAAAAUGAAACCAGUGGAGUGAUGUUUUACACCACAAUAUCGCACAAAAGGCAAGACAGUUGGCCCAGGGAUACUCCUACGCAGACAAAUCCCUGUGUCUCUGGACAGGUUCAUGUUUCUGUAUCUGGCAAGCAGAAAAUCGUAGUCAGUGUACAAAGUAGCUUUUUUAUUUAAGGAACAAUUAAGCUAAUCCCACAAGAUUUCAUGUUUAACUAGGUUUGUAGUGAACAAGUUUGUAGUCUGCAUUCAAUCAAGUUCUUUUGACUUUCAGAAAAUAGGGGCAAACCAAUAUAUAUGAAAUGUAAAAUUCUGAGUUUCCUGGGAUGACUGAGUCCUGCUGGAGUAAAACUAUACAGCUAUUUGCUAAAACUUUGGUAUUCUAUAAGUAAAGUUCUUUCUUUGGCCUGCCCUUAAUCUUCCAAUUAUGCAAUAUAAACCUGCACUUUUCAUUAAAAUAAACUGGUGUACACUAAAGCGCUUGAUAAAUACAUAACAAUAUGUACACGUGCACACAUGUGCACUCAGUAAAAGCUGCUGUUGGCUUGAAGGUAACAUCAGCUGCACUCAUGACAAGAUGCAGGCUCUUGGCCUUCAAAAUCUCACCUACUCAAAAGUGUGGUCAGGCUCAAUGCUUUUUUCAGUGUGGUUUGAGCUGGGGUUGAAUCCAGCUGUGGCCAAUGAUGAUCUGAAUUCAAUGAAGUCAAGAGAAGACAAUAAUUCAGGUUCAGUUCUGGUUUUUGACAAAACAAUGGUUCAAAUCAAUCUUUGGUUUUGGUUCUACUUCCUGCUUAACAGCUGUGUAAAGAAAAACAUCUGGAAUAAUAACCCAGCAGGGGCUAUAAGAGAGGCUGCUCCUUCAUACUGUCCAGAUAACACCAAUAAUAACAAAGCUUUCAAGCCAGUUUUCAACAACAAUGAAAAAAACACAACCAAACAAGAAAACUCCUUUUGUGCCUUACAGUCAGUAGUGGCCAGGAGUGCACAGAGGAAUUGGAGCAUUCCUGCCUCCACUGGCACCAGGCAGGGAAAUGGGCCAAGAGCAGCGCUGCUGUCCUGGCUCUGCAGGAAGGACAGACACAGCUCAUGCACACGGCUGAUUCCCUCCUGCAGUCAGGCUGGCUGCUGGGCUGCCAGAGUCAGGCGUUUGUGAGCCCUCAGCUGUGCCUGGGCACUGCCCAGCAUGGGUGAAGCCCAGCCCGGGAACUCCAGCACUGAUCCUCCUGUGAGGAGAUGCGGAAUCCUGGAUCUGACAGCCCCCUCAGGCCAGCACUGCCUCUGUGCCAGAUGGUAGGAAGAGCUGUUUCCAGUGCAUCUCCUUCCCACUGCUCUGUCAUCUCUCCCACUUCUUUUAGUGAGCUCCUUUGAGUCUGGGACCAUGUCUUUGUUCCAUGUUCAUUUGGUGACUAACACAGUCCAGCCUGGUUUUGAGAGUAGGGCUCCAGAUGCUGCAUCAAAGUACAUUUAGGGGGCAGUAUAAACCAUCCAGGGCAGGCAAAGCUCUCUGGAGUGGCCUCAACCCAUGCUCACAUCUGGGCAACUGCCCCACCAUGAACGUCAGCCUUGAUUGCCAAACAUGACUACUCCCACUGCCCGAGGUUUAGACCAAUCUUAGGGAAUUGUAGUUGCUUAAAAACAAGCCAGUAAUGGAAGUCUAGAAAAGGGAGAGGACACACCAGGAAACAUCCACAGGUCCCACAGAGAACAAGGACUGACGCCAAUGGCCAUUGCCUUAAACAAGAACCCCUGAAGCCAACACUGGCUGCAUCAAAUUUACAACUGCUCCUGGUCUUUUUUACCACACGCUGCUCUCAUGCAUUAAACAGGCCAAAGGGACCUCUCAGAGCAGGUCUAUUUUCAUGGGACAAAACACUGCUCAGGGGUUCUCCAUCUGGAAAAAACACUAGCUCUUCACUUCUGCUUCAGGAACACACCACCCCUGUGUCCACUGGGAAGGAGGUAAUAAAUGUCCUUGUAUCAAAUUUUUGAUGUCUGCUUUUCAAGAUCGGUUAAUUGUCCCUUUCCCCCUCCUUAUAUAACUGGAUUACUAAAUUGAAACUGUGCAAGGGUGAAGAGGAAAUCAAAGAAUGAAAUUGCCAAUGACUUGCAGUUUGGUAAUUUUGAGUUAAAGCUGUGAUUGCUGUACUCUUGUUGCAAAAGUUAAUGACUUUAGAAGUAAAGCAGCAUUUUGGCCACCAGGACCUAGAGUACCCCUCCUUCUGAAUACUACAUUUCAGCUCCAUAAUUUGGACAAUUUUAGCUUUGUUUACCAAUGAAGAUUUACUGGUGCUUAUUUGUAUUUACCAAGGAAGGAACAGAAACCGCAGCACAUUUGCAGCCAGGUCUCUGACCUCCUGUUCAGUGGUUUAUGAAACCCAAGAUGCAUUUUCAGGGCAGUAUUUGCAUUUGUAACAUUCUUGGUUCAUCUCUGCCAUACCCACAGACCCUCCCUUUAAAACACAUACCCAAAUUUUUAUGAGCCUGUGUAUAAUCCUAUAGAAAGUUUGUAAUAUCUUUGUUAAAACACAAAUCUAAAUUUCAUUUUAAAAUUAUUGGAUGCCUUCUGGGUUUUUUUAGCAUAUUCAAGUUCUGAAUAUUAAUAUAGCUACUGAAAAAAAAUCUAAUUACAAAAGAAAUUGUGACCUAAUUUUCUCUAUUUCUUAUCAACAAAUUUUGAGAUACUGUUUGAGCCAUUUGAACCCUCUUGGAAAUUCUGAGGAUAUUUUUCUCCACAUAUUGAAAUGUGUAGCUGACAGCUUCUGCCACUGAGUCCUCAAAAAUUGGUUUAAAGAGAUGUAAGUGUACAACUGAAACAGAAACAAAACAGAGUCUCAAUAAUCACGCAUAUUUACCCUCUUUGUUCAAAUGUUGGAUUUCAGCUACAGAAAAUACCAUACUAUUUUACAAUAGAGAUGUAAAAUCAUUCCACAGAGUCUUCCAAAUAUCCAACUUGUAUUUCAGACACAGAUAUCAAGAGGGGAAAAGUCUCCAGCUGUCUAGAACUCCAAAGUCUCUCAUUUGUACUGCCAUUUAACAUAACACAAAAUUUAAGAUCAGACUUUAACUGUUUCCAAAUGUUCUUGUGUGUUUUUCUGCUGAAACCUUUAACUGUUAUCUAGCACUAGAAUUCUUAGACAACAAAUACACCUACAGUCUCCCUUUAAUUUUGUGUUCAGACAUUUUUCUGUUGAAUGCUUGGUAUCAUACAUUAAUCAUGGUAAUAUAUGAUAAAUACAUAAUGACUCUGAGAGCAGAAGGAUCUAGGGCAAAUUUCAAGUACAAAUCACUUCAAGCACUGAUAUACAGAAAACUCUUCAUCCUGUGGGGAAAUGACUAUAGAGAGAGCAGUAGCAAAAAUAAACUAGAUCAAGUUCAAUUUCAAACCUCUGAAGAAACUAUUCAUCCUUUGAAACAAUCUCACAAAAGCUAAAUAUGAGCUUUAUCGAAGAAAAAAUUCUCCGCACGCAGUAGAAACCUGAACAGAUGUACAUGUGGGAAAUGCAGAACAGUGCACUGAAACAAAACAGAAGGUGCUUUAAAAGCCUUCUCUCUAAUCCUAGUAUGUGUUAGGCUACUUCAUUUUUUUUCCUGGAAAAGGUAUAACACAAUGCAAAAAGUAACUGAGUUCAAGCAUUACUUUCUUUGAGUCCUACAAAUGAGCACAACUUCCCAUGGGACUUGUGCGUGGCCUAGAAGUUUAUGUGUUUUUUGAAACACUCCGAGCCAACAACCUGGAUAACACUCUGAGACUCUGCAAGCCCAGACAAGCUGGUAUUUCAGUUUGACCCACUGAUGUAAGCUUUUCCCCUCAGAAAGAAAAUGGUUUAUUAUGGGUGGGCUACAGGAAAUGAUAAACAUUGGUUCUGAAGAAGAGUUUGGCAAUGGAAAUGAAACACUAAGAGUUGUUAUCCUUGUUCUGGGGUGCUUUGUUUUUCCAUUUAAGAUAAUUGGAGCAUUAAAGUUAAUAGAGUCCCAUGAAAUAAAUUACUAUUCAGGCAUUUCACCUUUUGAAGUAAUUUUGUUCAUCCUGGAGAAGAGAAAGCACUGAGGAGACCUUACAGCACCUUCCAGUACCUAAAGGUGCUACAAGAGAGCUGGAGAGGGACUUUUACAAGUCAAUGUAGCAAUACAACAAGGAGAAAUGGCCUUAAACUGAAGGAUGGUGGGUUUAGAUUAGGUAUUAGGAAGAAAUUUGUUACUGUGAGGGAGGUAAGACAGUGAAACAGGUUGUCCAGAGAUGUCGUGGAUGCCCCAUCCCUGGCAGUGUUCAAGGCCAGGUUGGAUGGGGCUUGAGUGACCUGGUCUAGUGAAAGUGUUCCUGACAAUGCCAGGGGUGUUGGAACAAGGUGAUCUUUGAGGUCCCUUCCCACACAAACCAUUCUAUGAGUCUAUGAUAUGUUAUGGAGCAAUUUUCAACAAAGAAAAAAAAAAUCACCUUUAGUGGCAUAUCAAUAAUUUAUUGUUUUGCAUAAGAAGGUAAGAUCAGAUUUCAGGUAAGACAUCAACCAAGGACCUGAUGGUGAAUUCAAGUAUAGAGUUUGGUACAAUAUUAAAAAACACUACCCUUUGUUUACUACAGCAAACAGCUAGAACACAAUAAAAACAUCUGGACUUGACUGUCAAAACAUACAUUUCUCUAAAAACCCACACAGCACAACUUGAAUAUGUGGAAUAUUGGAAACAUUUUUAGUUGUCUUCAUUCCCAAAUUCUUAAGUCAAAGGAACAAUCCACCCCCCUGUUCCCCUUGGUAUCCCAGAACAGUUCAGCACAGCUCAGGAUCCAUCAUGGUAAGCAGGCUCCUGUCCUGUUGAAACUGUUUGACUAAGAUAUUUUUUCUGCCUAAACCUACUGUCAUCUCUGCCUGCCUCAUGGAGGGCUUUAAUUUUUAGCUUUUGAAGCUAAAUAAUGCAAUAACGUUGAUUUUUAAAGAGCAAUUUAGUAAUGUAAUUAAAACCGUUUCUGACUCGUCACAGACUGUGCACGUUUUACUCUGCUGGUUGGCUCUAUGUUUUUGAGAUUCCCUUUCUUCUGCAGGUGUUCCCAUUCAGGAACUGGCUCCUGGCUCAGAGGGGGCAGGCAGCCAUGGCUGUGGGAGCCUCCUGCCAGGAUGUGCUGGGAUCAGAGGGUCGGUGGCUCUGGGAGCUGCCCAGGACAGCUGAGCUGUGCUCCAGAUCCUCCCAGACCACACUGACCCAGGAAUGGGAAAUAAAUCAGCUUCAAAAAGACAGGAAAAACAGCCUGCAGGACAGCCAGAACUGUCCCUGCCAAGGAGUUUGCAGAUUAUUCUAGCAUCUACUUCACAAAGAGAAAAGCAGGUCCCUUAUGCAAGCGUUGACUGUACCCCAAUGUUCCAAGACAGCCUGAGUUAGGAGCAAUGCCAAUAGUGUUUUAGUGAGGACUAAAG